CACGUAGGGCGCAAGCGUUGUCCGGAAUUAUUGGGCGUAAAGAGCUCGUAGGCGGUCUGUCGCGUCUGCUGUGAAAUCUCAGGGCUUAACCCUGAGCUUGCAGUGGGUACGGGCAGACUAGAGUGCGGUAGGGGAGACUGGAAUUCCUGGUGUAGCGGUGAAAUGCGCAGAUAUCAGGAGGAACACCGGUGGCGAAGGCGGGUCUCUGGGCCGAUACUGACGCUGGAGGAGCGAAAGCGUGGGGAGCGAACAGG
rnacentral:rRNA from 1 species